rnacentral:tRNA from 1 species
GCUCGUUUGGCUCAGUGGAUAGAGCAUCGGCCUGCAAACCGAAGGGUCCCGGGUUCGAUUCCUGUCAAGGGCG